AUCCAGAUGACGAGUCCCGAGCAGGACGAAAUGAGCAUCCUGAAU
rnacentral:hammerhead_ribozyme from 1 species